AAGUAAGAAGCAAAAAAUUGCAAUCAGUUUCGACCUGACCCUUGAUGAACCAAUCAUCCUUACUUU
rnacentral:tRNA from 1 species